UACGUAGGGUCCGAGCGUUGUCCGGAAUUAUUGGGCGUAAAGGGCUCGUAGGCGGUUCGUCACGUCGGGAGUGAAAACUCGGAGCUCAACUCCGAGCCUGCUUCCGAUACGGGCAGACUAGAGGUAGGCAGGGGAGAGCGGAACUCCUGGUGUAGCGGUGGAAUGCGCAGAUAUCAGGAAGAACACCAAUGGCGAAGGCAGCUCUCUGGGACGGUACUGACGCUGAGGCACGAAGGCCAGGGGAGCAAACGGG
rnacentral:rRNA from 1 species